rnacentral:rRNA from 1 species
CCCUUAGAUGUCCGGGGCCGCACGCGCGCUACACUGAAGGAAUCAGCGUGGCUUUCUCCCUGACCCGAAAGGGUUGGGAAACCCGUUGAAUCUCCUUCGUGAUAGGGAUUGGGGCUUGAAAUUGUUCCCCAUGAACGAGGAAUUCCCAGUAAGCGCAAGUCAUAAGCUCGCGUUGAUUACGUCCCUGCCCUUUGUACACACCGCCCGUCGCUACUACCGAUUGAACGGUUUAGUGAGGGCCUCGGAUUGGUCUCGGCCCGCUCUUUACCGGGCGGCGCCGUUGGUCGAGAAGACGCUCGAACUUGAUCGUUUAGAGGAAGUAAAAGUCGUAACA